rnacentral:rRNA from 1 species
AGAGUUUGAUUAUGGCUCAGGAUAAACGCUGGCGGCGCACAUAAGACAUGCAAGUCGAACGGAAGUCGUUAUAAAAAGGAUUGAAGAUUUAUCUGAUUGAGAUUUUAUAACAAUGGCUUUAGUGGCGGACUGGUGAGUAACGCGUGAGCAACCUGCCUACUAGAGGGGAAUAACAGUGAGAAAUCAUUGCUAAUACCGCAUAUGCCAUGAACAUCACAUGAUGAAAAUGGGAAAAGAGUAAUCUGCUAGUAGAUGGGCUCGCGUCUGAUUAGAUAGUUGGUGGGGCAACGGCCUACCAAGUCGACGAUCAGUAGCCGGACUGAGAGGUUGAACGGCCACAUUGGGACUGAGAUACGGCCCAG